CCAUCGCGCCGGGGGACGCCGGGCGGACUUCGCUGGGCGCCUCCAGGCUCUCCCGGAUCUCCGGCGGAGCGGGAGGCGUGUGAGGCCGAGACGGCCCCCCAGCAACCCCUCAUGAUCUAUGUAGCUGGGGCGCGGAUUAUUGUCGGAGCAACGCCUCCGCUUUCUUGGUCACCCCCCGGCCCAGGCUGGAAUGGGAGGACCCAGCGCGCCACGUGACCGAAUACCGCGCGUCACGUGACGAGGAAGCAGCGCAGCGGCGCCCGGGGAAGGAGUAGCUCUGGCGGAGCUUCCAGUAACCGUGGCGUCGGGCCCUGAGGCGCGCAGGAUUGGAGCUACUCGAAUUUUCCCCCUCAGAUACGCUAGUUGCGGGUGGUGUCCCGUGAUGGGGGGCAUGAGUCCUGUCUCACCAUGUCUGGCUGGCGGCGACCCAGGUGCCACGUGAUGGUCAUUUGAAGACAGGCCUGUCGGAUGUCAGAUGCCUGGGAUGUGGACAAGAUGCCUGGAGAUUCAGAAACCAUUUGUGAUCAUGAAGACAAAAGCCACAAAGGACAUCAGCCUUGGACAGCCGAACACCUACACCUUAUAUGAGAAAAAUAAGCCACUUGUCUACUGGAGCCAUUCUUACUUGAAGCUGACUGCCACUUCAGCUAUGGUUUAAGGAUUCAAAACAC